rnacentral:rRNA from 1 species
UGGGGAAUAUUGGACAAUGGGGGCAACCCUGAUCCAGCAAUGCCGCGUGAGUGAUGAAGGCCUUAGGGUUGUAAAGCUCUUUUGGCGGGGACGAUGAUGACGGUACCCGCAGAAUAAGCCCCGGCUAACUUCGUGCCAGCAGCCGCGGUAAUACGAAGGGGGCGAGCGUUGUUCGGAAUUACUGGGCGUAAAGGGCGCGUAGGCGGCGAUCCGAGUCAGAUGUGAAAGUCCUGGGCUUAACCUGGGGACUGCAUUUGAUACUGGAUUGCUUGAAUUCGGGAGAGGAUAGCGGAAUUCCCAGUGUAGAGGUGAAAUUCGUAGAUAUUGGGAAGAACACCGGUGGCGAAGGCGGCUAUCUGGACCGACAUUGACGCUGAGGCGCGAAAGCGUGGGGAGCAAACAGGAUUAGAUACCCCGGUAGUCC